rnacentral:misc_RNA from 2 species
AAGAUUCUUGACCUCCGGGUCGAACUCUUCAGCUGUGCGCUUCGGCUGCACGCUGAUAAAAUUCACACACCUGUGCACCUUUCGGUUGCAUCCUGCAUGCAGGUUUGCUUCCGCUUUAACAUACAACCACACGUCUCGAAUGUACCAAACUAUAAAGUAA